AUGGCAACCCCUUCGGAUGCACGCUUGGCAGCGAGUGGCGGGUCUCGAGGUGGCAAAACGGAUAACCUAGAUGAUUUCUUCGAGCAGCUUGACCUAGAAGAUGAGGUGUUCGAUGAUCUGGUGAUCGAAGAGGAAAUUCUGGAGAUCAAUAACCGUGUACGAUGUAUGGCUCUUACUCGGGUGCUCACUGAUAAGACCUUCAGCCAGUCGGCGUUCUUCAAGGACAUGCGGGCGGCUUGGAACCCGGUGCAGCCGGUGAGAUUCCGGCCAGUUGGUGCCAAUCUGUUUGUGGUGCAGGCUUCAUGCCUUGGCGAUUGGGAGCAGAUCAUGUUCCAAGGGCCAUGGAUUUUUUGAUUUUGGGUUGUGCCUCUUCUCCCAUACGAUGGAUUCAGCAGGGCGGAGGAUGUUUAGUUCAUUCAUAUUCCCAUUUGGUUGCAUAUGCACAAACUUCCCGACAGUUAUUGUAGUAUGGAUAUUGUGGAAAAAUUGAUUCGCACGGCUGGUGAGAUCUUGGAGUUCAGGCUUUCAGGAAAUUCUAGAGGAGAUUAUGGGAGGAUUAGAGUGAAACAUGAUGUCAGAGAACCUCUAACAAAGCACGUCGGUAUCAUUAGAGGAAAGGAGAGGCUGGUGUAUUCUAUGAGAUACGAGAAACUUGCACGUUUUUGUAAGCACUGUGGUAAAAUCGGACAUGAGCAUAAGGAGUGUGGAUUGGGUGUUUACACAACAAAGGAAUUUAAGUUUGGGGAUUGGUUAUAUGCAGAUCUACCAAACAUGAACAGAGCUGAGAUUGAAGGAGGUGGUCGGGCUUUUGCUCCUCCACCGGCUGAUGAAGCUAUGUACCUAGGGUAG
rnacentral:rRNA from 1 species